rnacentral:rRNA from 1 species
AUUGAACGCUGGCGGCAGGCCUAACACAUGCAAGUCGAACGAGUGGCGGACGGGUGAGUAAUGUCUGGGAAACUGCCUGAUGGAGGGGGAUAACUACUGGAAACGGUAGCUAAUACCGCAUACCAUCGGAUGUGCCCAGAUGGGAUUAGCUAGUAGGUGGGGUAAAGGCCCACCUAGGCGACGAUCCCUAGCUGGUCUGAGAGGAUUACCAGCAAAACGGGAAUGGAGACAAGGUCCAGACGCCUACGGGGGGCAGGAGGGGGGAAUAGUGCACAAUGGGCGCAAGCCGGAUGCAGCCAGGCCGCGUGUAUGAAGAAGGCCUGCGGGUUGUAAAGUACUUUCAGCGGGGAGGCGUAACCCGCAGAAGAAGCACCGGCUAACUCCGUGCCAGCAGCCGCGGAAUAC